GCGACCGCAGGUCGGCGGGCCGCACGGUUGGGACCUCUAAUCCCUUGGUCGCAGGUUCGAUUCCUGCCGGGCGCACCA
rnacentral:tRNA from 1 species